rnacentral:rRNA from 1 species
AUUGAACGCUGGCGGCAGGCCUAACACAUGCAAGUCGAACGAGUGGCGGACGGGUUAGUAAUGUAUGGGAAACUGCCUGAUGGAGGGGGAUCACUACUGGAAGCGGUAGCUAAUCCCGCAUACCAUCGGAUGUGCCCAGAUGGGAUUAGCUAGUGGGUGGGGUAAAGGCUCACCUAGGCGACGAUCCCUAGCUGGUCUGAGAGGAUGACCAGCAACACUGGAACUGAGCAACGGUCCAGAUGCCUACGGGAGGCAGCAGGGGGGAAUAUUGCCCAAUGGGCGCAAGCCUGUUGCAGCCAUGCGGCGGGUAUGAAGAAGGCUUCCGGGUUGUAAAGUACUUUCAGCGGGGAGGCGUUACCCGCAGAAGAAGCACCGGCUAACUCCGGGCCAGCAGCCGCGGUAAUC